GAAUUGACGGGGGCCCGCACAAGCGGAGGAGCAUGUGGUUUAAUUCGAUGGUACGCGAGGAACCUUACCUGGGUUAGAACGUAUGAUAGAUGUAGCUGAAAGGUUACAGACCUGCGAGGGAUAUCAUACGAGGUGCUGCAUGGUUGUCGUCAGCUCGUGCCGUGAGGUGUUUGGUUAAGUCCAGCAACGAGCGCAACCCCUACCUUUAGUUGCCAGCAGGUAAAGCUGGGGACACUAGAGGGACUGCCUGCGCAAGCAGAGAGGAAGGUGGGGAUGACGUCAAAUCAGCACGGCCCUUAUGUCCAGGGCUACACACGUGCUACAAUGGUAACUACAGAGGGCAGCGACUAGGCGACUAGGAGCGAAUCUCGAAAAGUUAUCUCAGUUCGGAUUGGAGUCUGCAACUCGACUCCAUGAAGGUGGAUUCGCUAGUAAUCGCGCAUCAGCAAUGGCGCGGUGAAUACGUUCCCGGGCCUUGUACACACCG
rnacentral:rRNA from 1 species